UGGUAAGUUUAACACUGUUGGUGUAACCUGGCCUGUAAGACUCGCGUGUAUAACUCCGGGAAACCGGAGCUAAUACCGGAUAGUUCCUUGAACCGCAUGGUUCAAGGAUGAAAGACGGUUUCGGCUGUCACUUACAGAUGGACCCGCGGCGCAUUAGCUAGUUGGUGAGGUAACGGCUCACCAAGGCGACGAUGCGUAGCCGACCUGAGAGGGUGAUCGGCCACACUGGGACUGAGACACGGCCCAGACUCCUACGGGAGGCAGCAGUAGGGAAUCUUCCGCAAUGGACGAAAGUCUGACGGAGCAACGCCGCGUGAGUGAUGAAGGUUUUCGGAUCGUAAAGCUCUGUUGUUAGGGAAGAACAAGUGCAAGAGUAACUGCUUGCACCUUGACGGUACCUAACCAGAAAGCCACGGCUAACUACGUGCCAGCAGCCGCGGUAAUACGUAGGUGGCAAGCGUUGUCCGGAAUUAUUGGGCGUAAAGGGCUCGCAGGCGGUUUCUUAAGUCUGAUGUGAAAGCCCCCGGCUCAACCGGGGAGGGUCAUUGGAAACUGGGAAACUUGAGUGCAGAAGAGGAGAGUGGAAUUCCACGUGUAGCGGUGAAAUGCGUAGAGAUGUGGAGGAACACCAGUGGCGAAGGCGACUCUCUGGUCUGUAACUGACGCUGAGGAGCGAAAGCGUGGGGAGCGAACAGGAUUAGAUACCCUGGUAGUCCACGCCGUAAACGAUGAGUGCUAAGUGUUAGGGGGUUUCCGCCCCUUAGUGCUGCAGCUAACGCAUUAAGCACUCCGCCUGGGGAGUACGGUCGCAAGACUGAAACUCAAAGGAAUUGACGGGGGCCCGCACAAGCGGUGGAGCAUGUGGUUUAAUUCGAAGCAACGCGAAGAACCUUACCAGGUCUUGACAUCCUCUGACAACCCUAGAGAUAGGGCUUUCCCUUCGGGGACAGAGUGACAGGUGGUGCAUGGUUGUCGUCAGCUCGUGUCGUGAGAUGUUGGGUUAAGUCCCGCAACGAGCGCAACCCUUGAUCUUAGUUGCCAGCAUUCAGUUGGGCACUCUAAGGUGACUGCCGGUGACAAACCGGAGGAAGGUGGGGAUGACGUCAAAUCAUCAUGCCCCUUAUGACCUGGGCUACACACGUGCUACAAUGGACAGAACAAAGGGCUGCGAGACCGCAAGGUUUAGCCAAUCCCACAAAUCUGUUCUCAGAUUCGGAUCGCAGUCUGCAACUCGACUGCGUGAAGCUGGGAAAUCA
rnacentral:rRNA from 2 species